CCGCUCCAUCAGGAGUUCAUCUCAUGAGCCCAGGACAGGUGCUUCACGUGAUCUGGAAGAAGUGAAAUCAGCUUUUCUCAAGCAGAGGAGAGGUUAGCCCUGCUUUUCCACUUUCAUAUAUGAGGACAGGAAAAUGACAUGAGUUAAGGACAGUACUGGCUUUAGAUAAGGCUAAAUUGGAAACUAUCUCAGAGGAUCUGCAAGGGAUCUUUUGAAGAAUACUGCUAGUACAGAAGGCAAGUAUUGUAAGGUGGAUUUUGAUGUUGGCUGUCAAAGGAAUUACAUGAUCAAAUGUAGUUUGUCCAGGGUGUUUAGCAUACUUUAUUUA